rnacentral:rRNA from 1 species
UUUGCUGCAGUGGGGAAUCUUGGGCAAUGAGGGAAACCUUGAUCCAGCAAUAUAGUUAGAGUGAAAAGAAAAUAUCAUAAAACUCUAAAGAAAAGUAAAAUAAUGAUAUAGCUUUUCUAAUAGUCCUGACUAAUUUCGUGCCAGCAGUCGCGGUAAUACGAAAAGGAUUAGUGUAAUUCAUCUUAUUUAGGUGUAAAGGGUCAGUAGGCGGCAAUUAAGCUAGAGUGAAAAAGAAGGAAAGAGUAAUUAAAAGUGGAGGGAUGGAAUCUAUAGAUAUUUUUAGGAAGUCUAAUGGCUAAGGCAUCUUUCUUUUUUUUCACUGACGCUCAUAGACUAAAGUGUGGGUAGCGAAAAGGAUUAGAUACCCGAUUAGUCCACAAAA